rnacentral:misc_RNA from 1 species
AAUAUUCAAAAUUACUGAUAACAGCUCAAUCCUGCAAACCCUAAAAUAAAAAAUCGUAAAUUUGUUUGCGUUCCUCCGCCACAACUCACGAGUCUGAUAGGAUUCCAAAUUCUUAUCUCAAUCUCUCUUGCUCUUUAACUUCCAUUCCAUUGCUGCCUGGCUCUUCGCAUAUUGCUUCUCACUGAUCAAAUUCCACUUUCGCAGCCACAACACUGCCGCCAAUCUACAUGGCUAGCCGAGGAGGCAGCGGUGGUAGAGACCGAUUUCGCAGAGAUUUUGGGUCUUCACGUUACGAAGACAGUACUAGUAGUAAUAGCAGUAGUAAGCGAGGCAAUAAUCCGCCUUCAAGGCACCUAUGGGUUGGGAAUUUGUCGCACAGUUUGGUGGAGAAUGAAUUGACCGAUCACUUUUUGCAGUAUGGGGAGUUGGAUACAGUAGCUUUCCAGGCAGGGCGGAGCUACGCAUUUAUUAAUUUUAAGAGGGAAGAUGAUGCGAUUGUAGCCAUGAAGGAUCUCCAGGGUUUUCCACUUGCUGGCAACCCGCUUAGGAUUGAGUUUGCUAAGGCGGUUAGUUUUGCCCCACCUUUUUCUGUUAUUUUUGACAUGUCUACUUUUAUCUUUCUUGUAGUAUCUGUGUCUAUGUAUUUGUUCCUUGAGUUUAAUUCAAUUGAUUGUUUUCUAUCAUAAUUGCAGCUUAAUUAUUCAAUGUUAAAAGAUUAGAGCUUGAGCUUAAUCCCUAUUAAUGAAGAAGGGUGAAAAUUUUAACUGAUCUUUUAAUAAAAAUAAUAAUAAGAAAAUACUUAAUUUUGUAUAUAUUACACUCCAUGAUUUAUGCUCAGUUGCAAGGAUAAGCUCCUUAUCAUCAUAAUUCAGAACUUGUACUCGAAAUUUCAUUGAGAAGUGACGGCAAAAACUUUAGGAUUUAUCUAUUAUGCCCAAAAGCAGUACAGGUUUUACAUGAUGUCGACAUUAAGAAAUAAGGUGCUCAAGUUAAAAAGGCGUGCUACUGUGAAAAGGAACACCACUUAGCAAACACAGUGGUGUACCAAUUAGAGUUUCCAAUUUGCUUAAGUGACUGCAGUUAAGGCUCUUGCCAAAUUUUUUCCACUAGCAGUUAAUUUUCAAUUUCACGCCAAUGCAACAUCACUACAGCAUUGUAUUCCAUCACUUCAGCAUUUUGUUUGUUCUUUGGAUGUUCAAUAUUAGUUGUUAAUUUGACAGGUUUUUUAACUUCUUUGCUGAGGCUUGAUUUGGUCUCUGGUAUUUAAUGGAGCAGAAGCUCAUAAAUUUUCCAGGCUUGCCACUUUUCUUUUGUGCUUAUCCCUGGACUUCCAUGUGUCAUUUGAUUUAAGAAACUCAAGUAAUUUCACAAAUUAUACAGUAUAAAAUAUAUUAAAUCUAUGUUGGAAAAGUAAUUUAAUUAAACAGCAAAAAUUUUACUGUAAUUAAUGAAGUUAAACUCUCAACAGAAUGUGAGCUAUCUAAUAAAUCAAGUGAUUGGCAAAUAAACACGUGGCUCAAAGUGAAGGUUUCUCUCUUUCGGCAGAUUUUACCCAUCUUUCCAUUUCUAAAUUCAGCAUAUUCAAAAUUUUUUGGCCCAAUGGAAUACUGAACUAGUGCAUGUUGUGUUUUAAUAAUAUUGAUUGUUAAUUGUGAGCCAACUGUUAUUGAAUUCCAUCCUAUGCAUAAUGAAAUCAAUGACACUUCCUUUCCAGCAGACAAGUUAUUUAUUGUUCAAUUUCUCACUUUUGCAUUUCACACUUAAUGUACAAUUA